UACGUAGGGGGCAAGCGUUGUCCGGAAUCAUUGGGCGUAAAGCGCGUGUAGGCGGCUCGGUAAGUCCGCUCUGAAAGUCCAGGGCUCAACCCUGGGAUGCGGGUGGAUACUGCCGGGCUCGAGUCCGGAAGAGGCGAGUGGAAUUCCCGGUGUAGCGGUGAAAUGCGCAGAUAUCGGGAGGAACACCAGUGGCGAAGGCGGCUUCCUGGACCGGUUCUGACACUGAGGAGCGAAAGCGUGGGGAGCGAUCCGG
rnacentral:rRNA from 1 species